UUUUUUGCUGCAGAACGUCUCUAAUUUUUUUAUUUCUCGAUUUCAUUUGAUAUGUACAUGAGUUUACGCUUCUUUAGCCAUCAGAUAAUAUCUUUAUGGGUUGUUUUUUUUGAAUCUAGUGGAAUAUUUAGGGGGGCCCACAUGCGCGGCUUCUUUGAAAAAUGUCGGCGACGCCAAGAAAAGCACGAAAAGGCGUUGAACGCUAGUUUUUUUUAAUUGAAAUGUGUGGGGGGCCUGAGUUCCAUAUUUCAAGACGUCGAGCUCGAGGAGAGCUUCACUUGCAUGUAUGGUGGGUCCCGUAACUCUUUCUGGAUCGAAAGUUAUGCCCGAACGAAGUUCAUGAUCUCAAUUUCGCCUGUGCUCAUCAACUAUAAUAGAAUAGACUAUGGUUUUACUUACG
rnacentral:misc_RNA from 1 species